rnacentral:misc_RNA from 1 species
AAUUUACCCAAAUUCAAAUAAACCGUAGGUUACUCUGCUUCGCUUUUGCUUUUUAAAUAAGUUGAUUGAAUCUUGAGUUACAUGUGUGACAUUCUUCUCCAUUUUAUGUAGCCUGAUUAGGACACGACCUUAAAGAAGAUAGAAGAGAAUAAUGAAGUGACACAGGGAAAAUUUGUACCUUAGGUGCUCCUUCCAAAGCGUUGGUGCAAUAUAGCCUAGCAUUAUCAACCAGUUGGCAGUAGGUUAGAAAUGCAUUUGCAAAUCUCUUGUGGGAUUUCAAUUGUGACCUCACCCUUACAGCUCUUCUGCACAUUAUAGCUCUCCUGUAUGCACUCACAUUGCCCAUUGUUGUAUAUUAGUAUCUUACGAAUGCACUCCCCCUUCCUCUUUGUUUAUGUAGUUAAAUAAAAACAUAAAAUAUAAGACCACAAGAAUUGAAUUAAUAAAUUUCUGCUUACCUUAUGCCUCUGACAACAGCUAAAUAAGCAUCGCAAACAACCCCAACCAACUCUAUCCUAUAUGAUUUUCUCCUUUUGCAUCCAUCUAGAGGUUGUUCUUCUUCUUCAGUUUGUUCCCAGUAGUUCUCAGUUAUGGUUCCAUCACUGCCUACCUUGUAACCAGCUCCCAUGCGAUAACGUUUGCGGUGAACAUUUCUGGCCAUCGUUAUUGUCUGCACGACAAAUGGUACCCAAGAGAGUGUGCCAUCCAUGAUCACGUCUCGCCCUUCAUUCAAGGCUGUCACCAAGAGAGA